CCGGCCGCCAGCGGCGCUCGCAAAGUUCGGAUCCGCAAGGACCGGGCCAGCGGGACGUCCGCGUGGCAGGGUGCACUUUCUCCGCGGUCGAGUGCUACGACCGGUUUCGAGGCGGUCAGAAGCCCGGCGGAAAGGUAGCGCCGCCCUUCGGGGUGUCGUGUUAUAGGCCGCCGCGGUGGACUCGCCGCGAGACCGAGGACGCUUGCCGCGCCGAGCGGUCCCGGGCCGUCUUGGGAAGUUCGACCUCGGCUGCACUGCUCCGCAGAGCACCGUAACCGCCGCCCUAGCACGGGUCCGGAGACUGCCGGCGCCUCGGGUCAGUAGCG
rnacentral:rRNA from 1 species